rnacentral:rRNA from 1 species
UACGUAGGUGGCAAGCGUUGUCCGGAAUUAUUGGGCGUAAAGCGCGCGCAGGCGGCUAUGUAAGUCUGAUGUUAAAGCCCGGGGCUCAACCCCGGUUCGCAUUGGAAACUGUGUAGCUUGAGUGCAGAAGAGGAAAGCGGUAUUCCACGUGUAGCGGUGAAAUGCGUAGAGAUGUGGAGGAACACCAGUGGCGAAGGCGGCUUUCUGGUCUGUAACUGACGCUGAGGCGCGAAAGCGUGGGGAGCAAACAGGAUUAGAAACCCCAGUAGUCC